rnacentral:rRNA from 1 species
CCCUUAGAUGCUCUGGGCCGCACGCGCGCUACACUGGUCGAUGCAACGAGUUUCUUUCCUUGGCCGACAGGCCUGGGCAAUCUUUGAACAUCGAUCGUGAUCGGGAUAGAUUCUUGUAAUUUUUGAUCUUAAACGAGGAAUUCCUAGUAAACGCAAGUCAUCAGCUUGCAUUGAUUACGUCCCUGCCCUUUGUACACACCGCCCGUCGCACCUACCGAUUGAAUGGUCCGGUGAAAUCUCCGGACUGGCGCGCACCUCGGUGCCGCCGAGAAGUUGGCUAAACCUUACCAUUUAGAGGAAGGUGAAGUCGUANCA